CCUACGGGCGGCAGCAGUGAGGAAUAUUGGUCAAUGGACGAGAGUCUGAACCAGCCAAGUAGCGUGAAGGAUGACUGCCCUAUGGGUUGUAAACUUCUUUUAUCUGGGAAUAAAAUGUUCCACGUUUGGGAUUUUGUAUGUACCAUAUGAAUAAGGAUCGCCUACCUCCGUGCCAGAAGCCGCGGUAAAACGGAGGUCCCGAGCGUUAUCCGGAUUUAUUGGGUUUAAAGGGGGCGUAGGUGGUUUGUUAAGUCAGUUGGGAAAGUUUGCGGCUCAACCGUAAAAUUGCAGUUGAAACUGGCAGUCUUGAGUACAGUAGAGGUAGGCGGAAUUCGUGGUGUAGCGGUGAAAUGCUUAGAUAUCACGAAGAACUCCGAUUGCGAAGGCAGUUCACUGGACUGCAACUGACACUGAGGCUCGAAAGUGUGGGUAUCAAACAGGAUUAGAUACCCUUGUAGUC
rnacentral:rRNA from 1 species